rfam:Oryza glaberrima chromosome 10 Oglab10_0051_1, whole genome shotgun sequence.
AUGCACCGUGCUAACCCCGGGCUUGUCGGACUGGAAUCCUUUGAACAAUGAAGCCCCAAUGAGGCAAUGACUGUGCUAUAUCCACCAUGCCAUUCAGUGUUGCAGGUCAUGAUGCUGUGAGCUCGUGAUUGUGUCUGUGUCAGCGUAAUGGAUACAUUC